rnacentral:rRNA from 1 species
CCUACGGGAGGCAGCAGUAAGGAAUCUUCCACAAUGGACGAAAGUCUGAUGGAGCAACGCCGCGUGCAGGAUGAAGGCUUUCGGGUCGUAAACUGCUUUUAUAUGGGAAGAUUAUGACGGUACCAUAUGAAUAAGGACCGGCUAACUACGUGCCAGCAGCCGCGGUAAUACGUAGGGUCCAAGCGAUAUCCGGAAUUACUGGGCGUAAAGCGUGUGUAGGUGGAUUAAUAAGUGUGAUGCGAAAUCCGGCGGCUCAACCGUUUGGACUGUGUCGCAUACUGUUAGUCUAGAGGACGGCAGAGGUAAGUGGAAUUACGGGUGUAGCAGUGAAAUGCGUAGAUAUCCGUAGGAACACCAAUGG